GUGGGGGUGGCAGAUGAAUGCGUUCGACUUAAGCUCGAGCCAUGGGCCUGUUGGCCCUCCUCACU
rnacentral:tRNA from 1 species